GCAUUAAGCACUCCGCCUGGGGAGUACGGCCGCAAGGCUGAAACUCAAAGGAAUUGACGGGGGCCCGCACAAGCGGUGGAGCAUGUGGUUUAAUUCGAAGCAACGCGAAGAACCUUACCAGGUCUUGACAUCCUCUGCCACCCCUAGAGAUAGGGCGUUCCCCUUCGGGGGACGGAGUGACAGGUGGUGCAUGGUUGUCGUCAGCUCGUGUCGUGAGAUGUUGGGUUAAGUCCCGCAACGAGCGCAACCCUUGAUCUUAGUUGCCAGCAUUCAGUUGGGCACUCUAAGGUGACUGCCGGUGACAAACCGGAGGAAGGUGGGGAUGACGUCAAAUCAUCAUGCCCCUUAUGACCUGGGCUACACACGUGCUACAAUGGAUGGUACAAAGGGCAGCGAAGCCGCGAGGUGGAGCGAAUCCCAUAAAACCAUUCUCAGUUCGGAUUGUAGGCUGCAACUCG
rnacentral:rRNA from 1 species